CGAGUGGCGAACGGGUGAGUAACGCGUGAGGAACCUGCCUCAAAGAGGGGGACAACAGUUGGAAACGACUGCUAAUACCGCAUAAGCCCACGGGUCGGCAUCGACCAGAGGGAAAAGGAGUAAUCCGCUUUGAGAUGGCCUCGCGUCCGAUUAGCUAGUUGGUGAGGUAAUGGCCCACCAAGGCAACGAUCGGUAGCCGGACUGAGAGGUUGAACGGCCACAUUGGGACUGAGACACGGACCAGACUCCUACGGGAGGCAGCAGUGGGGAAUAUUGCACAAUGGGGGAAACCCUGAUGCAGCGACGCCGCCGUGGAGGAAGAAGGUCUUCGGAUUGUAAACUCCUGUCGUCGACGAAGAUAAUGACGGUACUCAACAAGGAAGUGACGGCUUAACUACGUGCCAGCAGCCGCCGGUAAAACGUAGGUCAACAAGCGUUGUCCGGAAUUACUGGGUGUAAAGGGAGCGCAGGCGGGAAGACAAGUUGGAAGUGAAAUCUAUGGGCUCAACCCAUAAACUGCUUUCAAAACUGUUUUUCUUGAGUAGUGCAGAGGUAGGCGGAUUCCCGGUGUAGCGGUGGAAUGCGU
rnacentral:rRNA from 1 species